GGAGGAGGAGGCGGAGGAGGCGGAGGAGGCGGAGCGCGCCCUAAUGGCACCAAGCAUCACCCUCCCAUCUUGGUCCCGAACGGAAGGAGUCGGUGGUUGUUCCUGGCCAUUGAGGAGGUGGUGAGAAGAAGGGCUUGGAAGAGACGUCACAUCCCUUGCAGCUGUGCCGGGCAGCGGUGAAAGGAUCCGGAGAGGAGCGCCGAUGGAAAAAGUUGGGAGAGAAGAUGACAACUGCAACCGAAACUUAAGGUGACCACCACAGGACUCAAGGCACGAAUCAAACGGGAACACCACCGUCAGUUCUGAAACAGAAAGCUGAUGAAUCUGAGAUGGCAGCUGGAGAGUGCUCCGGCUUCGACUGUGAGCCCCAGGUGUGGGACCUGAUCAUCUCACACCUACCUACCCCAAUACUUAGGACAGUGCUUGACACAUGGGGUAUUGUGAAGGCCUCUAGUCUUUGAACAAUUUAACCGGGAAGAGGAGGAACUCCUGCAGGAAUGGAAAGCCUUGCAGCCUUUUACAGUCUGGACAGGUCGGAGCUUUUUUUUGUGGUAAAUGAGCUGCUUUAGGGAUCCAGAAAGCCAUCAAUUCAUAGUAUUUGAAUGCCCAUUGUGUGCAGAGCACUCUACUAAGUGCUUGAGAGAGAACUGUAGUUAGUAGACAUGAUCCCUGCCCUCAAGGGGGUUUACAAUCCAGCAGCCCGCGGGGAACAAUUUAGCAAGCAUUACUAAAGCAGCAUGGCCUACUGGAUACAGCUCGGGGCCUCCUGGGAGUCAGAAGAUCAUGGGU